UUGCCUAUCUACCUUCAGAAAAACCCUGUUCUACCAUUCAUCAUAAUUAUAAUGUUUAUUUUGUAUAUUAUUCCUACAUGGGUACCUAAAAGUAAAAACCUAAUAUGAAAAUUCUAGGAAACAAUUGUCCGAACAAAGAAAAACUAUGGAGUCGUCUCUGGAUUUAGGCGAAACUGAAACGAAUACAAUCGAUUCUUUAGAAGGGUAUGUAUGUAAUUAUCUACUACAUAUUUAUCACACUGUGACUGCAUAAUAAUAGUUUUGAACGUGUGUGAAAAUAAUAUUCCAAUGAACUAGACAUGACUAGAAUUUUAUUUUGUAGAAGACAAGAAAUGUCAUCGUCGUAUGCAGAUUUACAAAAUGUGACGCUCACGGCGGCCGAAAAGGAUCAGAACUCACUUCCAUGUUAUUUUGAAGAAAAAACGCCUAAAACAACAAUUGAGAUGGAAUUAGAUGAUAAUGAUGCGCCUCCAAAUAUAUCGCAAUGCGAAUCAGAAGCAAUG